UCUGCUGGUAUACCAGUGCCUAAACUACU
rnacentral:sRNA from 1 species